AGAUUGAACGCUGGCGGCAUGCCUUACACAUGCAAGUCGAACGGCAGCACGGGAGCAAUCCUGGUGGCGAGUGGCGAACGGGUGAGUAAUAUAUCGGAACGUGCCCAGUCGUGGGGGAUAACGCAGCGAAAGCUGUGCUAAUACCGCAUACGAUCUAUGGAUGAAAGCGGGGGAUCGCAAGACCUCGCGCGAUUGGAGCGGCCGAUAUCAGAUUAGCUAGUUGGUGGGGUAAAAGCCUACCAAGGCGACGAUCUGUAGCUGGUCUGAGAGGACGACCAGCCACACUGGAACUGAGACACGGCCCAGACUCCGACGGGAGCAGCAGGUGGGAAUAGUUGGACAAGUGGGACGAAAGCCUAGACUCCGAGCAACCGCCGCGUGAGGAUGGACCGGCCGUUUCGGUUCGUAAACCUUCGUUUACGAGCCGCCGAACGAAGCGAGG
rnacentral:rRNA from 1 species